CCCUUAGAUGUUCUGGGCCGCACGCGCGCUACACUGAUGCAUUCAACGAGCCUAUCCUUGACCGACAGGUCCGGGUAAUCUUUGAAUCUGCAUCGUGACGGGGAUAGAUUAUUGCAAUUAUUAAUCUUCAACGAGGAAUGCCUAGUAGGCGCAAGUCAUCAGCUUGCGUCGAUUACGUCCCUGCCCUUUGUACACACCGCCCGUCGCUCCUACCGAUUGGGUGUGCUGGUGAAAAGUUCGGAUCGGCCGUUUGUCGCGGUUUCCGCGUCAUGUGGCUGAGAAGUUCAUUAAACCCUCCCACCUAGAGGAAGGAGAAGUCGUAACA
rnacentral:rRNA from 1 species